rnacentral:rRNA from 1 species
GAGUACACUUUAAAUCCUUUAACGAGGAUCUAUUGGAGGGCAAGUCUGGUGCCAGCAGCCGCGGUAAUUCCAGCUCCAAUAGCGUAUAUUAAAGAUGUUGCAGUUAAAAAGCUCGUAGUUGGAUCUCGGGUCGAGACUUGCGGUUCACCUCGCGGUGAUUACUGCUCGUUCUGACCUACCUACCGGUUGUCCCUUGGUGCUCUUGACUGAGUGUCUCGGGUGGCCGGAACGUUUACUUUGAAAAAAUUAGAGUGUUCAAAGCAGGCCGUUCGCCUGAAUAAUGGUGCAUGGAAUAAUGGAAUAGGACCUCGGUUCUAUUUUGUUGGUUUUCGGAACUUGAGGUAAUGAUAAAGAGGGACAGACGGGGGCAUUCGUAUUACGGUGUUAGAGGUGAAAUUCUUGGAUCGCCGUACGACGAACUACUGCGAAAGCAUUUGCCAAGCAUGUUUUCCUUAAUCAAGAACGAAAGUCAGAGGUUCGAAGACGAUCAGAUACCGUCGUAGUUCUGACCAUAAACGAUGCCAACUAGCGAUCCGCCGGAGUUGCUUCAAUGACUCGGCGGGCAGCUUCCGGGAAACCAAAGUUUGGUUCCGGGGGAAGUAUGGUUGCAAAGCUGAAACUUAAAGGAUUUGACGGAAGGGCA